UGUGCUCUUCUCGAUCUGGGAGGCCACAGGCUCAUGGAAAAUGGGAUGCUGUGGAUUCAUGAGAUACUGUAAAGAGUAAAUAAUGUGUGCACACUGAAGGCAGUAGGUACAAUGUAUGCGUACGAGGAGAGGGGAAUACAGAAGGAUGUCAGUAAUACAUGUGAUGUUUGCUGUGUUCCUUUUACCCGUAGAGUUGUUAAAGGAUAGAGUUAAAAAUAAAAAAGGGUCACCUUGCGUAAUCUUAAAAAAUAAUAAUAGCAUAGUCUGUUUCUUUGUUUCAUCUUGUUUAUUUUCAUGGGAAUUUUCUUUUAGGGAAACUUAUCUUUUGAUAAAGGAGAUACAGUGUUUUUUCAGCCAGCUGGGAUGAAAAGCAAAAGAAUAAAGUCAGGGAUACAGAUGGCAGGCAUUGGCUGUGAUAAAUAUGAGUCAGACUGAUCACAAAUCCAUGACCAAGUAGAGGUCUUGCAGUUAUAAAAACUUUUGAAGACAAUUUUCAGGGUUAUUAUAUAAUGAAAAUCUUGGAGACCCAUGAAACUCCUGGAGCCCUGAUCCCAAGGGGUCUCUCGAAUAUCAUUAACCUAACAGUGUCCUUUUCUCUGGGCAUAGGGACUAUUCUGUGUUGGGUUUCUUCACGUGUCACUCAGACAUCCUGAGAUCAAGUAAUGAAACAACAAUUCCUAAACCCACAUCUGUUUGCUCCUAUUAUUUGCUGUGUAGUUGAUAUACUUUCUGUGUUUUUCCCUUUAGAAAUCGGAGCCUAGACAAACACAAGCUUGAAGUGCUCCUUCCUUGAACAAUGGAAGGUACUGUUGUGCUUUGCAGCUACACAGAGGCAUACUUGAAGCUGAGUUUGCUCACUCAUCACAGGAGUUUGAAAUCUGAGCACCAAUGAUUCCUUUACUUAAAGGAGUCUAUUAAGAAAACACAAAGCCAGAUCUGGCUUUCUAACCAAUAUUAAGGAAGAAAGGAAACAGAGAGCUCUAUUUUUUUCUUUAUUAUGAGGAUACACUUCAUUCCUAUCCAAGCAAAAACUCCUUGUCAUAUAUAAUGAAAAUGCAUCUUUGUUAAAAAGCAGUAAGAUUGAGAAUGUUAUGAGGGCAUAUUCCAUUCAAAUAUUUUUAAUAAAGGAACUAUCUCAAAUACAUCUAUUAAUGGUGGAUGUUCAACAACAGAUUGAUUCUCUAAUUAGUCUCUAUAAUUGAUUAAUGUUUAUUGUAAAUGUGUCAACUUAUAACUAGGUCAGAUACUGUCUUUUAAAUGGCUUGGCAAAAUUUAAUCACAUGCUAUUGCUCUGUAAUAACUUCAUUUAGGUUAGCUUACAUGUGAAUAUUCAACUAAGUCAUAAGUUCUUCUCUGUCACCUUCCUUUACUCUUCUUUAAUCUUGGCAUGGAAUCAGAGAGAAAUACUAAGUACUCAAUUAUGAGUUUAGUUAUUUGCUAGACAUAAAUACACUGGAUACACCCACCUACACAUAGGUACAUACACAUAUAGAUAUAUACACACACUCACACCUAUA